rnacentral:lncRNA from 1 species
UUUAGUAGUAUUUUCCUGCUUGAUUAUAUAAUAGCCUGGCUUAGAGAUACAACCUUUAAAUAAGGAAUCUUAAGAUGAUGUGCAGCUGUUCUUUGCCUUAUUUGUUUGUUUGUUGGUUAGUUUGUAGUUUCUAAGAAUCUGCUCUGUUCAGCUGUACAGUUCCUUCUUCUGGAGUUAACCUGUGGCAAGGAUUAUGUUUCACCUGUCACAAAAAUGAGAUCUGUGCCUUCCUCUAUUAUAAAGUUAGGGCAUGUGAUUCAUUCUUCGAAAUACUUCAAAAUGUACUUUGGUAUGUUUUUGUCUUGAAAAGAGGUUUUCUAGCUAGAAAUUCGGGGCCCAGAAGGUCAAGGCUCCAGAGAUCCCCUUCUCAUCAUCCUUCAGUUGUCUGAGGAGACAGAGGAUCACAUGUGUCACAGUGAGUGCUGAUUCCCCAGAAUCUGCAGUCUUAAGCUCCCCUGCUGACGCACACAGCCAGUUCUCUGCUUCAUAUUCAUGUGACCCACUGUGAAGUGACAGGCAGCUGCCAAUUCUGUCAUAUAAGAAGCAGCUCUGCCCAUGCAACUUUGAAAGUUCCUGCACUUCUCCAUAGACUGCUCCUUCAUGGAAAUAAACACAUCAUCACACUGUGGGUGCCUAAGCUAAGUUUGUUUGCAGUUUGAUGAUGCCCAGCUCCUUUUCAACUCAGCCUUAAUUGGCACUUUAAGGGCCAGGAUGAGGUUUCUCUCAGGCCAAGUCGAGAUUUCCAGAUUUCCUUUUGUCCAAGGCUGACCAGUUUAGAAGUUAUUCACAUCCUUGUUUUAGUUCUUUCCUUCUUGUCCUGGUACCUCUUCCUUUCCAGGAUUAUUUGCAGAGUCUGUGAUGGCUUACUUGGUGACCAGACAUGGGGUGAGCUACUGGUAUAGUCUGAUUACUUUGGCAUCUAUUCUGAACUGGUCAUUGGCUGUACAUGAGUUUUUGUGCUGGUAAAGGAAUAUACUGGGAAGAUUGGAAGGCACAGACUGGGAACUAAUUCUGAGAAGAGAACUGCUGAGUUACUGAAAGACCUUUUGGACCACCCCUAAAUGGAGCAUCUUGAUAGAUGGCAAAUCCAGUGUUUCUUAAACUUGUCCAUGCUGCCCAGAGCCCACUGCCUUUUAUCAGAUGUGAGACUUCACUGCCACAGUGUCAUCCCACAGUUUCCUUCCCUGGACAUUUGAUAAAGGGAAAAUCAUUUCUUGUCCUUUAAGGCAGGGACUAUUAUUUUUUCACUUUUCCACAUACCCCACAACACCUAACAUUGAUUUACUCGUAGUAGGAGUUUCAUACUGUUGAACUCUCUAAAGGCCAUUUGUUCCAGGGCCUAGCUGGGCUUGUGAAGGACAACAGAGUCAUUUCCUAAGGACCCCAAAAGACAGCAUGAAGGAAAAAAUAAUAAUAAACUGCUGUUCACAGUGCCUUGAGUGUACCACCGUACUUUCUGCUAUGCCUUGUCCAUUCCAAUCUGGACAGUCUCUGUGCCCCUCCUUUCCACUCAAGUGUUAUCCAGCACUCAAGUUCUGGCUCAAGGCCCAACAUCUCCGUGGGGACCUCAGCCAUCCCAGGGCAUUGUGACCCCUUCCUCUAAGUCCCCGGCACACUCGCUGAUUGGUACCCUCUCAUUCGACAAAGCAUAUGCCAUUGUGGCUUACUUGUCAUUUCUUUAGGUCUUGCCUUCCCAAGUAGAUCAUGAGCCACUAUAAGAACUAGCUCCCAUAGUCCCAGCCCCUGGGCCUGGUACAUGGCAAUGCUUAGUGAUUGGUGAUUGAGGAUAAUGGUGGUAAAGGAUGUACCAGACAGUCAUCUCCUGAAGAGAUGCCGAACAACCUGUCCUUGUUUUAUGUAUUUUCUCUUUCUUUCCUGUCCAGUUUUAUUCCUCUCAUAGUAACUGCUAAAAAAAUAUCAGUUCCUGUCACUCUUCCACCCCUUUUCUCCCUCUCCCCUGCAUUGUGGUCUGGGCCUUGGUCCACUAGCAACUCCCCUUAGGUGUUGCUUAAUCUGCCUCAUGGCCAAAGCCAAUCCCAUUCCUGUCCCCCGCUACCCAAGGGACUCCCAGUCUGUAUGCACAAGGCGGGAUGUGAAGUCUGGAUGUGCAAGAAACCCAGCUGUAAGAAACAGCUUCCCUCGGCUUGGCAUGGUGGCUCAUGCCUAUAUUCCCAGCACUUUGAGAGGUCAAAGUGGGAGAAUCACUUGAGCCCAGGAGUUCAGGACUAGCCUGGGCAACAUAGCAAGAUCCCACCUCUACAAAAAAAGAAAAAAUUCAGAGUCUCAAAUGUCCCUUCAUCUCCUUACUCUCGACCUGUCUCCCUAGUUCUCUGCCGCCUUUUCCUCUCCCCUGGAUCUGACACUCAAUUGUCUGCAUGCACUUUUCAACUGAAAGAGACUCCAAUGCCAUCCUUCUGAUGAAAUUUUUGCUUUGGAUACUACUGCAGAAAAAAUGCUAUCUUGUAUUCUGGUCCAUGGUGGGGAAGACCCUGUCGUAGAACCUGGCAACUCAAGUGGAGGGAGGGGCCAGAACAUUGUUCUUAUGCUAUUUACAGUGAGACAACAGGAUUGAUGCAGAACUUUCUUUUUUUUUUUUUUUUUUUGAGACAGAGUUUCAUUCUUGUUGCCCAGGGCUGGAGUGCAGUGGCAUGAUCUCAGCUCACUGCAACCUCCACCCCCCAGGUUCAAGCAGUUCUUCCUCAGCCUCCGGAGUAGCUGGGAUUACAGGCGUGCGCCACCACGCCCCACUAAUUUUUGUAUUUUUGGUAGAGACGGGGUUUCACCAGUGUUGGCCAGGCUGGUCUCGAACUCCUGACCUCAGGUGAUCCACCCACCUCGGCCUCCCAAAGUGCUGGGAUUACAGGCAUGAACCACCGUGCCCGGCCGUGAUGCGCAACUUUCUAAUAACAUACUUUUGAAAGUGCCCAGACAUACAUCCCUCCUCUGGUACCACAGUGGCCAUCAGUUGCCAGAGAACAUGAAAUUAUCCAGCCCUCAGCUCUGCAGCAGGAUUCUGAGGAGUAAAGCAGGCCUGUAAAGUACUCUAAAGUACUUCAGAGAGGUAAUGCCACAAAGCGAAGAACACCUCUUGGAGGCAGAGCCCCUCAGCCCUAUCCAGGCCAGCAGUGUCCACUUGAAAUCUGAAAGCAGCCUCCCUCACCAAACCAGCAAGAUGGAAAACCUCCCUGGGUUGGCAAGUGGCCCUGGGAAGUACAUGCCCCAUCUCUGUCAGGAUAGCAGUGGAGAGGUUUCGUGCCAGUGCCAGCUCCACCCACCCAGAUGGUACUCAAGACUCCAAGCCUGUCAAUGGGGUGGAAACUUUCUGGCAUUUUCUGUCAGAAGGGUGAGUUAGCACUGAACCAUCUCAUGUGUCUUUUCACUGAGUAACAGCCCAUAUCCAUUCCAUGAAAUGAGUGACUGCUUUGUUGAAUCAGAUAGUAACAAACAUUUAUUUGUAGUCUGGUUGUGUCAUAUCAUGGUUGAAUUGCAAACAGGUUGGAUAGAAGAGUCAGCAAAAAUCAACAAAAGCAUUCUGUAAAAAACUUUUCUAGAAUUACAAUAAAUGGCAUUGUAUAUUUUAUUUAUAAAUUAUGUGCUGCACAUCAUUUUUAUCAAUGAAAUUUAUAAUAAAUUUCUGUACAUAUAUACAUUUUUAUCCCAGAGAGCCAGUUGUUAAGCAUUUACCAGCAAUAAAUGCUUUUUGUUUCCUGCUUACACAGGUUCUGGGAGUGGCCAGCCCACUCUUUGAGAUGUCCCCACUUGCUUUUUUAGUUGUCCAAGUAGUGUUCUGCCCAGCCUUCCCGACUCUCUUUCUUAUCCUUCCCUCGAAACUAUUCUGUUCCUUAUGCUUAAAUACUUUCCAGUCAUGGGAGCUUUGCUGUAGGCCCUUGGCCUUUCAUGGGUAGCUUCUGAUACGUGCAUGGGUGUUAAUAGAGGAAGUUGACCCCGCCUGGGAAGAAUAAUGACCUAUGGAGACCUGGCCCUUUCUCUUAUGGCUUCUUAAAGUGACAGCUGUUAUGGGAAGUUCAGGCAUCUUGACGUGGAAAAUACAUUGUUCAUUUUCUUUUAAUUUUUUUUCCCCUAACCACUAUACCAACAGGGAUGGAAAGAUACUUUUAGUUGGAAGGAAUUUGGAGCCCUUAAACGACACCUGGAGCAGCUGCCUGUGGGUGGGGCUUUGCACAGUCUCAUCCUGGCAAGGGAGGACGAGCCAAGGACCAGUUUUGCAGAAUUGUCAUCAUGAGGCCCUGGUUGUGUGCUGGGCUGGGGCAUUGCCCCUUUCCAGGAGGCCAGGCCAAGCAGGGCUGCCUGGCUUAGGCUUUUGCAUCUUCAGCAUCCUUUCACGUCUCUUAUCUCAGGUGACCUUCACAGCAAGCCUGGUGAAGGUUAUUGAGAAGCAGAUGUCACCACCUAGUCUUAGAGCUGAUGAAAGCAGGAUGUGGGGAAGUCCAGACCCUCUCCUGAAACCCCUUGGCCACCUGAGCUAGUACCAGAGCAAGGUCCCACUUGGCCGUGAGUGCUGUCUCUAGGGCCUAUUUCAGGAACUGUCUCAUAUAUAAGAACAGAACACUUUUUGCCAGCUAUACCAAAUGUUUUUGGGAUUAAAAAAAUAGUUUCUCUUUUCCAAAUUAGGUGGUAAGAAAAGGAAGGGCAUUUUCAUUCUCACAUUCUUUGAAUGUUGAAACGUUUUAAAAACUUCCAGCUGGGCUUGGUGGCUCAUACCUGUAACCCCAGCACUAUGGGAGGCUGAGAUGGGAGGAUCCCUUGAGGCCAGGAGUUCAGGACCAGCCUGGGCAACAUAGUAAAACUGCCCAAAAUUUGAAAAUUAGCCUUGUGUGGUGGUGUGCACUGUAGUCCCAGCUGCUCGGGAGGCUGGGGCAGGAGGAUUGCUUGAGCCCAGGAGUUUGAGGCUGCAGUGAGCUAUGGUUGUACCACUGUACUCCAACCUGGGCAACAGCGUGAUACCCUGUCUAAAAAAAUAAUAAAAAUAAAAAAGGAUUAAACCCUUUACUUGACCAGCUUCUUUUCCUGCUACCCCUGGACUAACUAAUCAUUACAUAUUUUUGUAGUUGUUUUUUCUUUCUUUCUCUCUCCUGAUCUACCACAAGCCAAAUGUACUCAUAUACAUACUAAUAGGUGAAAAAAGAGAGUCUGAGGAGUGAAUACAUUUAUUUUGUGAUUUCCUAGGCAGUAGCUAGGACUCCCUUAGAGGUUGCUAAUAGGGAAAGGGUGCGCUGGCUCUACUCAGUUUUAUAACUGCUUUUCCCCGAAUUCUGCAGACAUCUUCAUUCCCCUGGAGGUCAGAUAAUGGCUAUUUAUUUUCCAUAGCCAUGAAAAUCUCUGGGGAGAGCUGUGGCAAUUUGACGAGAGCUAUUAAAGGGACAUUAGGAUUGAAGUAGCUGCUCAGGCAGUCACAUACCCUCGAUCCUCAUCUGCAGGGACAGCUGCCAGAACGAAUGAGCCCAGCUCUCCUGCCCGCAGCCAGCCGCGUGUGGGUGCAACUGGCGACCAGCCACUGGAGUGAGUCCCAGGGAAGGGGACAGGUUCUUAGAAUCACCAUUUGUCUCUGCUCUCUCCCUCUCUGCAAUAGGACGGGCACUCUAAACUCACAUAAUGGUUAAUAACAACAGCUAACAAUUACUGAGCACCUACUAUGUGUCAGGCAUGUGCUGAGGAUGAUCGCAUCAAGUAAAAUGCCUGUCUCUGGCCCAGAGGCCCAGAAGAAGAGAAAGAAGGGAAAUCUGUAGGAGGCAAACAGUCCCUUACCCCUCUGCUUGCAGACCUUCAGUGACAGGACACUCCCUGUUUGCUCCAAGCACCUCUUGCAUUUUCAGAGCUUGGGACACAGAUUCAGGGACUUGCACUUCGAUAGAGUGCCUCAGGACCCCUCGUCGGAGCCAUGGAAAGUCAGUUUCUGGGCCCAUCCUUCCUGUGGGGGUGUCUUUCCUUCUCUUGGCCACCCCCUAGGAAUCCCUAGUAGAGAGCAGGCACUUAAUAGCCAGUGCAGUGAGAGUGGUCUGUGAUGUCUGGGCCAGGGCAAGGCCCGCCAAGUGGGCUCCCAGGUGCCUGCCACAGAGCCUCUGGGGUUUGAGGCCCUCAGUGACCCUUAGGCAAUAGCUGGGUCUUAAUGAGGGAUCAUGUCCUUUCCUGGGUAGUCGUGGGUAGAGGGGUGUGAACUGAUCUGAGCUACUCUAGGAAGGCUAGAGACAAAAGCAGGAACCAAGAGAAGGGCUGAGGCUCCUUCCAAGAGACUCCAAGUCCUGAGGGCAAGAAGCGGAGAGCCUUGUGCCAGGCCAGGUGUUGCCCCUGUCAGUGCUGACGGACAGGCAAGAGAGGCUGCUGAUGCUGCAGCCCUGUGAAGCUGAGACUCACCCUUUGCCCACUUUCACAGCCAUCUCCCCAGGAGGCUGUGGUGACACAGGUAAAAGCCAAAGGACAGAGGAUGACCCUGGACAAAUCACUCAGACCCUCCAGUCCUCUUUGCUCAUUUAUAAAAUACAGGCAAAAAGCCCCCUAGUACUAAAUGAAAUAGCCACUGUAAAAGAGCACGGGAGAUAGGGUCUGUGAUGUCUUUUGUCCCCAGUGUCCUGAGUGAAUUCACAGGAAAGGGGAGAAAGACUGGUUGCCCACUUCCAGGGUGAUUGGCUAAUUUCCACUUCUUUCCUGCUAGGGAUGGGAACACACGCCAGAAUCCUGGGAAGGCUACAUGUCCUCAGGUGGUGCUGGCCCCACCUCCAGCCUCUGCAGGGAUACCAGGAUAUGAGCCAGGCUCUGCUCCCGGGGUGACCCAUCCUCCUCAGUGCCCCUUCUUUCCUCACAACUGCAGGCAGAAGGAGAGUGUGUCCUGUCUCUCUGAGGAGCUGGCUGUGCCAUUUAAGCAGGCCCUAGGGGUGGAGCGCUGUGAAGAGAUGGCACCCAGGUCCCUGUUCCUCCUUUUCCAGAGCAAACACUGCUAAGGGAUCAUGACAGUCCCUGCAUCUGGCCCAGACUGGGCCUUGGGAGGCUUUUGACAUCAAUCCAUGCAACCGCACCCAACAAUUGGAGUCAGCAUGGGAGGUGAGACCCACUUGCCAAUUUUGCUCUCAGGGAACAGCCCUCUUUACUAAAACAUAGCACAGUAUUGAUAACAGUUGUUUCCAGGCAUCGUAGAAAGCGUUUAGUGGGCAUUAACGUCUUUGAUCCUCACCACAAGGUCAGGGGUUGGAUGAUGUUAGCAUGCUCAUUGAAGGAUCAGAAAAGUCAGGCUCAAGAUAGCUCGCCCUUCAUUCAGCCAGCCGGUGUUAACUGAAUAUUAACUGUGCACCCGUCUGUGCCAGUGUUCCCCCAGGAGCUGCAGAGGGUCCUGAGCAGAGUGAGCUCAAGCCACUUGGGAGCUCACAUUCCAGCUAUCAGUGCUGAUUCAUCUCAAAUGUUUGAUCCACGCUGGGUUCUAACCCUUCCCUGCUCAGAGCCCUCAGAGUCCAGGUCAGGUAGAACCCAGAACAGAGCCUCUGGCAGGAAGGAGCUUGCAUGGUCCUCAGGCUUCAUGUCCAGAGAUCAUUCCUCCACUUUGAGCUUCUUUGUGAAAACCAAUCACAAAGAGAGGAGGGGUGAAAUGUGCCAAAGCCUCUGCCAGGGUUGUAGCAAGGAAACCUGGGCUUCUAGGGAAAGUUGAGAAAGGGCCUAUAUUAGUCAGGAGGGCUACUGUAAGAGAGUACCACAGGCUGGGUGGCUUAAACAACAGAAAUUUAUCACCUUACGGUUCUGGAGGCUAGAAGUCUAAAAUCAAAGUGUUGGCAAGGUUGGUUCCUUCAUGAGGAAUUUCUUGGCGUUGCCUGGCAUAUAGAUGCAUCACUGCAGUCUCUGCCUCGUUGUCACAUGGCCAUCUUCUCCCUGUGUCUAUAGGUCUAUGUCCAAAUUUCCCUCUUCUUAUAAAGACACCAGUCAUAUUGGCUUAGGCCCAGCCCAAUGAUUUCAUCUUAAUUUGAUUACAUCUCUGCUAUGGUUUGAAUGUGUCCCUUCCAAAAUUCAGGUUAUUGCCAAUGUGAUAGUAUUGAGAUGGGGUCCUUAAAGAAGUAAUUAGGCCAUGAGGGUGCCUCUCUCUGAAGGGAGGCUCAUUGGAUUGUAUCAGUGUAACAUAAUUUACAUAACCAGUUCUUUAUGUGAUGGAAAUCCCAUUCAACGGUUUCCAACCUUUGCUAUUACAAACUGCUGUGAAGAGAAACAUAUGUCAUUAUACUAAUCAGGUGCUGUUGUUGUUUUUAUAAUGCAUUAUCCUGGAGAGACUGCCCCUCCCAGGGCUAGCUACUUUGGGGAGAGAGUAAACAACUUGGUCGAGCGUGCCUUUCGUAUGCAAACCAGUCAAUCCAGAGCCCACACCCCCAGUCACCUCCUUUAUCAAACUCUGACACAGCAAGCCAAUAUUCCCCCUGCCCUAAAUCACUCCAGGGCCAGGCAUGGGACAACUAGGGACAAUCCCUAUAGCCAGGGCCUGCCAAAGUUAUACAGAUUAGCCAAUCCUAAGCCUGCUUCCCUGCCUUGCCUUGCCUUUCUGCUGGAAACUACAUUAAAGGCGCUGGAUCGUGCUUUUCCCUCACCCCCUCUGCUUCUUGGCUGACCCAAGUUCUUCCUGUGUGGCCCUGCAAGGCGUGACACACCUCUCCUCCUGGGAACUGCAUAACAAACUCUUCUUGCAGAGAUAGUUUUCUCUGUGUCUGUCAUCUUACCAUACCUGAUGAAAACAAAUAUGGGUACAUUUUUUUUUUUUUUUGAGAGAGAGGGUCUCACUCUGUCUCCCAGGCUGGAGUGCAGUGGUGUAAUCACAGGUCACUGCAGCCUCGACCUCCUGGGCUCUAGUGAUCCUCCCACGUCAGCCUUGCAAAUAGCUGAGACUACAGGCACACACCACCAUGCCUAGCUAAUUUUUGGUGUAUUUGUUAUAGAGACAGAGUUUCGCUAUGUUGCCCAGGCUGGUCUCAAACUCCUGAGCUCAAGUGAUCCACCCACCUUAGCCUCUCAAAGUGCUGGGAUUAUAAGUGUGAGCCACAGCAUCCAGCCAUGGGUACAUUUUAAAGCAGGCGUUUUGUUCAUGUGCAGCCCUUGUUCUCAGUUAAGGGGAAAAUGAGUGAUCCUUUGCUUGGCUCUGAAGGAGCAGUGUUUUAUAUGUAAAGAAUAUAUUCUGUAUAUUUAAAGAAGAGCAAUGGGGGGCAUUUGAAAAUAAAUCCGUUCAUUUUUUUCUGAUUGUAAAAAUAAUAUAUGCUCAGUAAAGAGAAUCUGAAAAAUACAGAAGUAUUGGGGGAACCCACCCCCAAUAUUUCAACAUAGGUUCUUUCUAUUUUCCAUAAGUGUCGGCCGACUGAGAAAUAAAGAGAAAUAGUACAAAGAGAGGAAUUUUAACAGCUGGGCUGCCGGGGGUGACGUCGCAUAUCAGUAGGACUGUGAUGCCCACCUGAGCCUCAAACCAGCAAGUUUUUUAUUAAGGGUUUCAAAAGGGGAGGGGGUGUAAAACAGGGAGUAGGUACAAAGAUCACAUGCUUCAAAGGGCAAAAGCAGAACAAAGAUCACAUGCUUCUGAGGAAACAAGACAAAAGGCAAAACAGAACUACUGAUAAGGGUCUAUGUUCAACUGUGCGCGUAUUGUCUUUUUUUUUUAUUAUUUAAGUUUUAGGGUACAUGUGCACACUGUGCAGGUUAGUUACAUAUGUAUACAUGUGACAUGCUGGUCGCUGCACCCACUAACUCGUCAUCUAGCAUUAGGUAUAUCUCCCAAUGCUAUCCCUCCCCCCUCCCCCCACCCCUCAAUAGUCCCCAGAGUGUGAUGUUCCCCUUCCUGUGUCCAUGUGUUCUCAUUGUUCAAUUCCCACCUAUGAGUGAGAAUAUGCGGUGUUUGGUUUUUUGUUCUUGCGAUAGUUUACUGAGAAUGAUGAUUUUCAAUUUCAUCCGUGUCCCUACAAAGGACAUGAACUCAUCAUUUUUUAUGGCUGCAUAUGUGUAUAUGUGCCACAUUUUCUUAAUCCAGUCUAUCAUUGUUGGACAUUUGGGUUGGUUCCAAGUCUUUGCUAUUGUGAAUAGUGCCGCAAUAAACAUACGUGUGUGUGUGU